AGAUAAACCAAGGUAUAAAGUUGUCAAUUUGAUUAACCAUUGUUACAUGUCGGUUUUUUUUUUUAUUAUUUGCAGUUUUUUAAAAAUGUUAUAUCUCUGUCUAAAGUUUUGAAAAUCCUUUGUUUGAUAAAACAGCAUCUUUGGUUGUUGUUUUGUUCUAAAUCUUUUUAUUUUACUUUCAAAUUAUUAUAUCUCUAGCCCAUUUCGUGAUGGAAACGAGCAGUUAUCCAAUUUUAUUAAACAGCAUAUCAGGGGAUACGAUAAAGAUAUAACUGAUGACAUAAUAAUAGCAUCAAUUGAACAAUAUUUCACAUCAAAGAAGACAAUGAGAAAGAAGGGGUCUCAUCGAUAAAACAUUAAAGCAGUCGCUGCUUCUACACAGCGCAAGUUGAAUAAAAGUAAAAGACGGACGAAGGUUCUUCAAGCAAUGAACCUGCCUGAAGAAAAGAAGGCAAAAGUUUUGAAAGUCCUUGGGGUACAGUAUAUGUCAUCAGAGGAAGAGAUAGAUGAUAACAAUGGGCGAUAUUUUACUGUCCAUUCGCUUCCGUGGAGAUGCAAAAAUUGAAUUCAACUUUUAAAAAACUCGAUGCAAGACAUCAAGAAAAUCAAAACAAAAGAAGCAAAAAUCAGACCGUGCGUCGCGAGGAAGGACAACCAUCAGAACGAAACCCGCCACCAGAUGCUCCUUCAUUUGCCAUUGCUCCUUUUGAUGAAUCACAAUAAAAUAUUGAACAUUCGUGACAUUCCUAAAAAGAUUUUUUUGUAUAUAUUUAGAGAAAACAUUUUUGUUUAUAAGUUUUUGUAAAUAGACAUACAUCUUGUGAUAUUUGUUUCUCUCUUCCUUGCACCUUCUGUAUACGUCAAUCAUCCCAUCCUGCAAGCUUUAGGAUAUUCAUUAUUUUUAUCAGGUGGAUGAGAUUAUAGGUACUUUUAACUCCUAACUCAAUAAAAACUAAAAAAAAAUUAAGAAAGGAAAUUGAGCUCUUGUUGAAAAGUAUUUGCAGGUUAUAAUAAAGGAAAUUUUAGUUAAAAAGCGGAGCAUAAUUUUUUAAAAAAACAUUACAAAAUCUGGUAUUUUCGUAAAGAUUAUGUCAAAUAAACGCAGAUCAUCGGACAAUUACUUCGCUAAAAAAAUGUAUAAUCUUUUCCAGAAAGUUCGUAUAAUUGCGUGUUUUCGGCUGUGAUUAUUUUAUAUAAAAUGCAUAUAAUCUAUCAGAUUAGUUAACAUAUGGAAAUAAUUGAUUCGCGAAAAUUUCAUAUAAUCGAAUUUUCGAUUAUGUCUGAAAUAUUUAGAUUAUUCUGAAUAAUCGAAUAUAAUUUUGCAUAAUCUCAUUACCGAUUAUUCCUUUUUUCGUGCAGUGAUUCGAAAACAUUCAUAUGCAGAAUCUGUUCUGUCUUUGACCACACGCUUCCCGUUCUGGUACCAUGGAAAACUGCCCCCCAACCUUUCAUAAAAGCAUCUCCCUGUAACAAAAUUUGUGCUUCAGAUUGCACAAGCGAACGCCCAUUGUACAAAAUUAGAUUGUUUACCCACCAUAAAAGUUCCUUUAGAGACUCCUUCUUUAAAUGCACUAGGAUGGCAUAAGUUUUUGAUGCUUUUAGAUUUGAAUUUGUUGUUAUAGAAAAAAACUCCAGACAUGUUGGCAGAACUGCUUGUAUGGUGGAGGAAAGAGCUCCUAUUAAUUGAGUUAGCUCCAAAAUAGUAGCCUCUUGCCUCAAGCACUGUUUCUGUACUCAAGCACUGUUUCUGUACUCAAGCACUGUUUCUGUACUCAAGCACUGCUUCUGUUUUUUGGCAACUUUCUCCCUUGUUAGAUACAGAAAUUUUCCGGGUUGCCUUUAGGGCAGAUUUUUUCAAAUUUAUUAGAAAUCCUAAAUUUUGUAACAGGAAAAUCAAAGUGUCUUGUGCCAUCAGGACCUCCUCUUGGCACCGUCCUAAAACUAACAAUCGUCUAAGCAAAUUAUAAGUCGUAUCAAUAAUCGACGAAGUACUGCCAUAGGGAACAAAGACAGAGGAAUUCGUAUAGGU